UACGUAGGGGGCAAGCGUUGUCCGGAUUUAUUGGGCUUAAAGGGUGCGUAGGCGGUCUUAUAAGUCAGUGCUGAAAUAUCCCGGCUUAACCGGGAGGGUGGCAUUGAUACUGUAGGACUUGAGUGAAGUCGAGGUAGGCGGAAUUGACGGUGUAGCGGUGAAAUGCUUAGAUAUCGUCAAGAACACCAAUAGUGAAGACAGUUUACUAGACUUCAACUGACGCUGAGGCACGAAAGUGUGGGGAUCAAACAGG
rnacentral:rRNA from 1 species